GCUGUGGCUCAGUUGGUAGACCAUUGCGUAAACAAUGCAAAGGUAAUGGGUUCAAAACCCAGGGAAAGCA